GAUGAACGCUCGCUACAGGCUUAACACAUGCAAGUCGAGGGGAAACGCCAUCGCAAGCUUGCUUUUGAUGGGCGUCGACCGGCGCACGGGUGAGUAACGCGUAUCCAACCUGCCCAUCACUUGGGAAUAACCUUGCGAAAGUAAGACUAAUACCCAAUGAUAUCCCACGAAGGCAUCGGAAUGGGAUUAAAGAUUUAUCGGUGAUGGAUGGGGAUGCGUCUGAUUAGCUUGUUGGCGGGGUAACGGCCCACCAAGGCAACGAUCAGUAGGGGUUCUGAGAGGAAGGUCCCCCACAUUGGAACUGAGACACGGUCCAAACGCCUACGGGAGGCAGCAGUGAGGAAUAUUGGUCAAUGGGCGAGAGCCUGAACCAGCCAAGUAGCGUGCAGGAAGACGGCCCUAUGGGUGGUAAACUGCUUUUAUAAGGGAAUAAAGUGGGUCACGUGUGACUUUUUGCAUGUACCUUAUGAAUAAGGACCGGCUAAUUCCGUG
rnacentral:rRNA from 1 species